AACGCGAAGAACCUUACCUGGGCUUGAACCGCACAGGACCAUCUUUGGAAACAGAGACUUCCCGCAAGGGACCUGUGUAGAGGUGCUGCAUGGCUGUCGUCAGCUCGUGCCGUGAGGUGUUGGGUUAAGUCCCGCAACGAGCGCAACCCUUACUCAUAGUUGCUACCCGCAAGGGAGAACUCUAUGAGGACUGCUCCGGAUAACGGAGAGGAAGGUGGGGAUGAGGUCAAGUCAGCAUGGCCUUUAUGUCCAGGGCUACACACGUGUUACAAUGCGCGCUACAGAGCGUUGCAAACCCGCGAGGGGGAGCUAAUCGCACAAAAAGCGCGCUCAGUUCGGAUUGCAGUCUGCAACUCGACUGCAUGAAGCCGGAAUCGCUAGUAAUGGCGCAUCAGAACGGCGCCGUGAAUACGUUCCCGGGCCUUGUA
rnacentral:rRNA from 1 species